rfam:Deltaproteobacteria bacterium RBG_19FT_COMBO_46_12 rbg_19ft_combo_scaffold_15869, whole genome shotgun sequence.
GGAGAGAUGCCCGAGAGGCCGAAGGGGCACGACUGGAAAUCGUGUGUUCCGACAAAAUCGGGACCGAGGGUUCGAAUCCCUCUCUCUCCG